CAACUGAAACUGCAUGUCUGGAAAGGAGAGGGUAAGGGCUGUUACCCAAACCACCAAUUGCUUUAAAAAAGUUUUCUAAGUUGAGAUUUCAUUCAUAGUGAAGAGUGAGGAGAGACCAGGGUCACAAUGAGUACUGACAACAGAGAAACAUCAUCAUCAUCAUCAUGCAUUUCUGGAAUGCAUGCCGGUUGCCUAAGAAUUUACUGAAUACCUCCAGAGAGUUGGACCAAACAGACCAGACUAAGGAUAAAACUGUCAACUUCUUGCCAGAUGAGUUCAAUCCUAUAUGAAGUCACAAGAAGAAAAAAGGAUGAUAAACUGGUUUAUUCCUCACAGCUAAUGUGUUACAAGACUUAUGCCUUCUAGAGGAGGCACAUCCAGAUUCCAGAACAGUUACUGCAAUGGGGUCCUGAACCACAGGAAAUUCACCAACAGCCACUACUGUGGGGUAAACUGAAAUGGAGCACACAAAAUCCUUACAUGGGCAGAAAAAACUGGAUAAAAACCUAAUGAAUAAAGCACAACUGUAAAAAAUCCAA